UUAGCUCAGUGGUAGAGCGCUCGCUUCAGCAUGCGAGAGGCCGGGGGAUCGAUCCCCCCA
rnacentral:tRNA from 1 species